CACGAACGCUGGCGGCAGGCUUAACACAUGCAAGUCGAGCGCCCCGCAAGGGGAGCGGCAGACGGGUGAGUAACGCGUGGGAAUCUACCCAUCUCUACGGAAUAACGCAUGGAAACGUGUGCUAAUACCGUAUACGACCUUCGGGAGAAAGGUUUAUCGGAGAUGGAUGAGCCCGCGUUGGAUUAGCUAGUUGGGGGGGUAAAGGCCUACCAAGGCGACGAUCCAUAGCUGGUCUGAGAGGAUGAUCAGCCACACUGGGACUGAGACACGGCCCAGACUCCUACGGGAGGCAGCAGUGGGGAAAUUUGGACAAUGGGCGCAAGUCUGUUCCAGCCAUGCCGGGUGAGUGAUGAAGGCCUAGGGUUGUAAAGCUUUUUCACCGGUGAAGAUAAUGACGGUAACCGGAGAAGAAGCCCCGGCUAACUUCGUGCCAGCCGCCACAGUAACAC
rnacentral:rRNA from 1 species